AUUGAACGCUGGCGGAAUGCUUUACACAUGCAAGUCGAGCGGCAGCGCGGGGCAACCUGGCGGCGAGCGGCGAACGGGUGAGUAAUACAUCGGAACGUGCCCAGACGUGGGGGGAUAACUACUCGAAAGAGUGGCUAAUACCGCAUACGAUCUAAGGAUGAAAGCGGGGGAUCGCAAGACCUCGCGCGUUUGGAGCGGCCGAUGGCAGAUUAGGUAGUUGGUGGGGUAAAGGCUUACCAAGCCCGCGAUCUGUAGCUGGUCUGAGAGGACGAUCAGCCACACUGGGACUGAGACACGGCCCAGACUCCUACGGGAGGCAGCAGUGGGGAAUCUUGCGCAAUGGGGGCAACCCUGACGCAGCCAUGCCGCGUGAACGAUGAAGGCCUUAGGGUUGUAAAGUUCUUUUACCCGUGACGAUGAUGACGUAACGGGGGAAUAAGCUCCGGCUAACUUCGUGCCAGCAGCCGCGGUAAU
rnacentral:rRNA from 1 species